rnacentral:tRNA from 1 species
UAUUGAGAAGAUAUAAUUGUGGCUGCUAACUAUAAUUCGGGUUACAUCCUCUUCUCUAUG